AUUGAACGCUGGCGGCAUGCCUUACACAUGCAAGUCGAGCGGUAACAGGUUAAGCUGACGAGUGGCGAACGGGUGAGUAAUACAUCGGAACGUGCCCAGUAGUGGGGGAUAGCCCGGCGAAAGCCGGAUUAAUACCGCAUACGACCUAAGGGUGAAAGGGGGGGAUCGCAAGACCUCUCGCUAUUGGAGCGGCCGAUGUCAGAUUAGCUAGUUGGUGGGGUAAAAGCUCACCAAGGCGACGAUCUGUAGCUGGUCUGAGAGGACGACCAGCCACACUGGGACUGAGACACGGCCCAGACUCCUACGGGAGGCAGCAGUGGGGAAUUUUGGACAAUGGGCGCAAGCCUGAUCCAGCCAUGCCGCGUGCGGGAAGAAGGCCUUCGGGUUGUAAACCGCUUUUGUCAGGGAAGAAAUCCUUUGGGUUAAUACCUCGGGGGGAUGACGGUACCUGAAGAAUAAGCACCGGCUAACUACGUG
rnacentral:rRNA from 1 species